GACGGAAGGUGCAAGCGUUGCUCGGAAUCACUGGGCGUAAAGGGCGCGUAGGCGGCCGUGCAAGUCUGGCGUGAAAGCCCCGGGCUCAGCCCGGGAAGUGCGCUCGAAACUGCGCGGCUCGAGUGCCGGAGGGGAGAGUGGAAUUCCUGGUGUAGCGGUGAAAUGCGUAGAUAUCAGGAGGAACACCGGUGGCGAAGGCGGGUCUCUGGGCCGAUACUGACGCUGAGGAGCGAAAGCGUGGGGAGCGAACAGG
rnacentral:rRNA from 1 species